rnacentral:rRNA from 1 species
UACAGAGGUGGCAAGCGUUGUUCGGAAUUACUGGGCGGAAAGGGCGCGUAGGCGGCCAUCUAAGUCAGACGUGAAAUCCCCCGGCUUAACCUGGGAACUGCGUCUGAUACUGGAAGGCUUGAGUAUGGGAGAGGGAUGUAGAAUUCCAGGUGUAGCGGUGAAAUGCGUAGAUAUCUGAAGGAAUACCGGUGGCGAAGGCGGCAUCCUGGACCAUUACUGACGCUGAGGCGCGAAAGCUAGGGGAGCAAACGGG